rnacentral:rRNA from 1 species
GGAUAACCUGCCCUUGGGUCCGGCAUAACCCCGGGAAACUGGGGAUAAUUCCGGAUAACGCAUAUAUGCUGGAAUGCUUUAUGCGUAAAAUGGAUUCGUCUGCCCAAGGAUGGGUCUGCGGCCUAUCAGGUAGUAGUGGGUGUAAUGUACCUACUAGCCAACAACGGGUACGGGUUGUGAGAGCAAGAGCCCGGAGAUGGAUUCUGAGACAUGAAUCCAGGCCCUACGGGGCGCAGCAGGCGCGAAAACUUUACAAUGCGGGAAACCGUGAUAAGGGGACACCGAGUGCCAGCAUCAUAUGCUGGCUGUCCGGGUGUGUAAAAUACACCUGUUAGCAAGGGCCGGGCAAGACCGGUGCCAGCCGCCGCGGUAACACCGGCGGCCCGAGUGGUGAUCGUGAUUAUUGGGUCUAAAGGGUCCGUAGCCGGUUUGGUCAGUCCUCCGGGAAAUCUGAUGGCUCAACCAUUAGGCUUUCGGGGGAUACUGCCAGGCUUGGAACCGGGAGAGGUAAGAGGUACUACAGGGGUAGGAGUGAAAUCUUGUAAUCCCUGUGGGACCACCUGUGGCGAAGGCGUCUUACCAGAACGGGUUCGACGGUGAGGGACGAAAGCUGGGGGCACGAACCGGAUUAGAUACCCGGGUAGUCCCAGCCGUAAACGAUGCUCGCUAGGUGUCAGGCAUGGCGCGACCGUGUCUGGUGCCGCAGGGAAGCCGUGAAGCGAGCCACCUGGGAAGUACGGCCGCAAGGCUGAAACUUAA